rnacentral:lncRNA from 1 species
CCUCUGAUCUAAGAUCACCACGAUGACUUACAAGCAACUCAUUGUACUUUGGUGUCGGACUAACUAAGUUUCUAAUUCAGUAACGAAAGACUUCUGAGUGCAGUCAAGUACUUGUAAGUCGGUGCAUGAGUGAAGAUGGGAUUGACCCCUCCGAAUUAGUAGGAGUUAAUAUAUCAAUGUAUUUCAAUUUAGUAAAAUCUGAAUCCAGAUAAUCUAUGUGAUGGAUUUGAAAAAAAUUAAAAUAUAAUAUGGAUGACUUAUCUAAGAUUGAUAGUUAAAUUUUAGAUCAUCCUCGAGGAUUAGGA